UACGGAGGAUGCGAGCGUUAUCCGGAUUUAUUGGGUUUAAAGGGUGCGUAGGCGGACGCUUAAGUCAGCGGUAAAAUUGCGGGGCUCAACCUCGUCGAGCCGUUGAAACUGGUGGUCUUGAGUGGAUGAGAAGUACGCGGAAUGCGUGGUGUAGCGGUGAAAUGCAUAGAUAUCACGCAGAACUCCGAUUGCGAAGGCAGCGUACCGGCAUCCAACUGACGCUGAGGCACGAAAGCGUGGGGAUCAAACAGG
rnacentral:rRNA from 1 species